rfam:Salmo salar isolate Sally breed double haploid chromosome ssa22, whole genome shotgun sequence.
AAGAGGCAAUCCGUAAGUCGCUCUGGAUAAGAGCGUCUGCUAAAUGACUUAAA